AUUGGGUCUAGAGUAGGAAGACCGAUAGCGAACAAGUAGCGUGAGCGAAAGUUUGAAAAGCACUUUGGAAAGAGAGUGACAUAGAACCUGAAGUCGUGACAACGACAAAUGGACGUACCUCCAUUUCAUCGGCCAAAACCGACCUCCAAGCAUUAUCCUCGGUUGACUUUAGCGCAACAGGGGCAACAAGUGCAGAAGCUGAGGUUCCGGUCCAGCGAGCAGGAGUAAAGUUGGGAGCACCUUCACGGGCGAGCCCUUCUUUCUUGUGAGCUCCAUUUUUGGCGCUGGAGAUGGGGUGCCUCCACCCGUCUUGAAACACGGACCAAGGAGUCAAACAGACGCGCAAGGGAGAAGAUAUGUUUUCGAGUACUUCUCUCGUACUGAAAGGGAGCCAGCAAUGGCGUAUGGUGUGCACAAUUUACUUGCUCAACACCGACCGGCCCGUACGCGUUGAGUUCGAGUGUGCCUGUUUGGACCCGAAAGGUGGUGAACUAUGCCUGAACAAGGUGAAGCCCGGGGAAACCCAGGUGGAGGCCUGUAGCGAUACUGACGUGCAAAUCGCUCGCAUGAUUUGGGUAUCGGAGCGAAAGACUCAUCGAACCACCUAGUAGCUGGUUCACAUCGAAGUUUCCCUCAGGAUAGCUGGUGCUUAACUUUUUAUAGUAUUGUGCGGUAAAGCAAAUGAUUAGAGGCAUUGGUGUUCUUGUGAUAUCGACCUAUUCUCAAACUUUAAAUGGCAAAACAACCCGCCUUUGCCUAGUCGGAAGGCGGGAAAGAAAAGAAUUAAGGCACCAAGUGGGCCUUCUUCGGUAAGCGGACAGGCGAUGCGAAUGAACCGUUAGGGAUAUGUGGCGUCCAAACUUUUGGGUCAUUCUCGAUACGUGAAAAGGGUGUUGGUGGAUACGGACAGUUGGACGGUGGCCAUGGAAGUCGCAUCCGCUAAGGAGUGUGUAACAACUCACCAACCAAAUCCACCGGUACCACA
rnacentral:rRNA from 1 species